GAUGAACGCUGGCGGCGUGCCUAAUACAUGCAAGUCGAGCGGCAGCGCGAGUAGUUUACUACUUGGCGGCGAGCGGCGGACGGCUGAGUAACGCGUAGGAACGUACCCCAAACUGAGGGAUAAGCACCAGAAAUGGUGUCUAAUACCGCAUGUGCUCCACGGAGUAAAGCUUCGGCGGUUUGGGAACGGCCUGCGUCCGAUUAGCUUGUUGGUUUGGUAACGGCUGACCAAGGCGACGAUACAUAGCCGACCUGACAGGGUGAUCGGCCACACUGGGACUGAGACACGGCCCAGACUCCUACGGGAGGCAGCAGUAGGGAAUCUUCGGCAAUGGACGGAAGUCUGGCCGAGCAACGCCGCGUGAGUGAAGAAGGUUUUCGGAUCGUAAAGCUCUGUUGUAAGAGAAGAACGAGUGUGAGAGUGGAAAGUUCACACUGUGACGGUAUCUUACCAGAAAGGGACGGCUAACUACGUGCCAGCCGCCGCCGUAA
rnacentral:rRNA from 1 species